rnacentral:rRNA from 1 species
CACGUAGGGUGCGAGCGUUGUCCGGAAUUAUUGGGCGUAAAGAGCUCGUAGGCGGUGUGUCGCGUCGGCCGUGAAAACUUGCAGCUUAACUGUGGGCGUGCGGUCGAUACGGGCAUCACUGGAGUUCGGCAGGGGAGACUGGAAUUCCUGGUGUAGCGGUGAAAUGCGCAGAUAUCAGGAGGAACACCGGUGGCGAAGGCGGGUCUCUGGGCCGAUACUGACGCUGAGGCGCGAAAGCGUGGGGAGCAAACAGG